rnacentral:lncRNA from 1 species
UGUUAAAUCAGAUUUUUUGUGCAUUAUUUUUAUGUCAUAGAUUCUUAGAAAGAUUGUUUAGAUCUGAUUUAAAGUAUGUAUAGGAGAUUAAAUUAUUUAAUCUAUUAUUUUUAUUAUAAAAUUUUAAAAAAUGUAUGCUUUGAACUGCCUAUUUUCUAACACAUGCUGUGUUUAAUGUUGAUUUGUCGAUGAAGACCAAGUUUCAAGUUGACUGGGUG